rnacentral:rRNA from 1 species
ACUCAAAGGAAUUGACGGGGACCCGCACAAGCAGCGGAGCGUGUGGUUUAAUUCGAUGCGACGCGAAGAACCUUACCAAGGCUUGACAUCUAUUCGCAACACCCCGAAAAGGGUGCCUCCUUCGGGACGGAUAGACAGAUGUUGCAUGGCUGUCGUCAGCUCGUGUCGUGAGAUGUUGGGUUAAGUCCCGCAACGAGCGCAACCCUUGUCCUUAGUUGCAAAUCUAAGGAGACCGCCGGAAACAAACCGGAGGAAGGUGGGGAUGACGUCAAGUCAGCAUGACUCUUACGUCUUGGGCUACACACACGCUACAAUGGCCGCCACAACCAGAAGCCACCCAGCGAUGGGGAGCAGACCUGUGAAAGGUGGUCGUAGUUCAGAUUGCACUCUGCAACCCGAGUGCAUGAAGAUGGAGUUGCUAGUAACCGCGUGUCAGCACAGCGCGGUGAAUAUGUUCCCGGGUCUUGCACACACCGCCCGU